CCUACGGGUGACUGCAGUGGGGAAUAUUGGGCAAUGGGCGCAAGCCUGACCCAGCAACGCCGCGUGAAGGAAGAAGGCUCUCGGGUUGUAAACUUCUUUUAUCAGGGACGAAGCAAGUGACGGUACCUGAGGAAUAAGUCACGGCUAAAUACGUGCCAGCAGUCGCGGUAAUACGGAGGUGGCAGGAGUUAUCCGGAUUUACUGGGUGUAAAGGGCGUGUAGGCGGGAACGCAAGUCAGAUGUGAAAACCAUGGGCUCAACCUGUGGCCUGCAUUUGAAACUGUUUUUCUUGAGUGCUGGAGAGGCAGACGGAAUUCCUAGUGUAGCGGUGAAAUGCUUAGAUAUCAGGAGGAACACCGGUGGCGAAGGCAGUCUGCUGGACAGCAACUGACGCUGAGGCGCGAAAGCGUGGGGAGCAAACAGGAUUAGAUACCCGGGUAGUC
rnacentral:rRNA from 1 species